rnacentral:rRNA from 1 species
GGAUUAGAUACCCUGGUAGUCCACGCCGUAAACUAUGAUUACUCGAUAUUGGCGAUAUACGGUCAGUGUCUAAGCGAAAGUGAUAAGUAAUCCACCUGGGGAGUACGGUCGCAAGAUUGAAACUCAAAGGAAUUGACGGGGGCCCGCACAAGCGGUGGAGCAUGUGGUUUAAUUCGAUGAUACGCGAGGAACCUUACCAGGGCUUAAAUGCAUAAUGACAGAUUGGGAAACCAAUUUUUCUUCGGACAGAAUGCAAGGUGCUGCAUGGCUGUCGUCAGCUCGUGCCG